AACGAACGCUGGCGGCAGGCUUAACACAUGCAAGUCGAACGCCCCGCAAGGGGAGUGGCAGACGGGUGAGUAACGCGUGGGAAUCUACCCAGAUCUACGGAACAACAGUUGGAAACGACUGCUAAUACCGUAUACGCCCUACGGGGGAAAGAUUUAUCGGAUUUGGAUGAGCCCGCGUUGGAUUAGCUAGUUGGUGGGGUAAUGGCCUACCAAGGCGACGAUCCAUAGCUGGUCUGAGAGGAUGAUCAGCCACACUGGGACUGAGACACGGCCCAGACUCCUACGGGAGGCAGCAGUGGGGAAGAUUGGACAAUGGGCGCAAGCCUGAUCCAGCCAUGCCGCGUGAGUGAUGAAGGCCUUAGGGUUGUAAAGCUCGUUCACCGAUGAAGAUAAUGACGGUAGUCGGAGAAGAAGCCCCGGCUAACUUCGUGCCAGCCGCCGCAGUAACAC
rnacentral:rRNA from 1 species